UUAAAGACGAUGAAGGGGAGUAGUAGAUACCCGGAACCUUUCAGAGAGCUGUUGGCCGGUGCGAAACAGCAGGGGAACGGUAUUGAACUGGCCCCGGAGUUGCCGUCUGAAAUCAGAGUAGGACAGGACGAAAGCCCAUCGUUAUCUGGGCAGGAUAUCGGUAGAACGCACCUGUAUCUGGAAAAAGAGUGGUUAAUUGAUCCUUCGUCUCUUUUGGCGAAGGUUUUUUUAUAAAACGGAAAAACAAAUAAAAGGCAGGGUGCAUCUGCCGGUCUCCGGACGAGUGUAUUCCGAUAAGGAAUAAAGAAGAGUGGUACCGCGGGAGAAGAAACCUUCCGUCUCUUUG
rnacentral:ncRNA from 1 species